UACGUAGGUGGCAAGCGUUAUCCGGAUUUAUUGGGUGUAAAGGGCGUGUAGGCGGGAGCGCAAGUCAGAUCUGAAAACUCAGGGCUCAACCCUGAGCCUGCAUUUGAAACUGUGUUUCUUGAGUGCUGGAGAGGCAAUCGGAAUUCCGUGUGUAGCGGUGAAAUGCGUAGAUAUACGGAGGAACACCAGUGGCGAAGGCGGAUUGCUGGACAGUAACUGACGCUGAGGCGCGAAAGCGUGGGGAGCAAACAGG
rnacentral:rRNA from 1 species